AAGUCGUAACAAGGUCAUCGUAGGUGAACCUGCGGUGGGAUCAUCAAUAAAGUAUCUUACCCAGAGGGUGGCAACACAAAUGCGUUUCCACCCUCGAACCUUGUGUGAACUUUAGAGGGGAAUGGAUAAUAGAUAGUGAUAUGAGAGUAGUAGUUUCUGGUUUCAUUCAUCGUCUGUUAUCUGCUUGACAAAGAGGAUCCUCUGGGGUCUUCUAGUCAAUAACCCUCCAUACCUUUUGUUUGCUGGGCUGUAUAUGGGGUGUAAAUUCCAUAGGCAGAGAGAGAAGGCAUUUCGCCUUUUUUUCUUACCAGCAACAGAAUAAUUAUUAAACUGACCUGUAAACUUUAUCAUUAUACAUAUUGUUUAAGCUGGGAAACUGGCUUACAAAAACAAAUUAUAUACAACUAUCAAUGGUGGAUCACUUGGCUCUU
rnacentral:misc_RNA from 1 species